CCCUUAGAUGUUCUGGGCCGCACGCGCGCUACACUGAUGCAUUCAACGAGUCUAAAACCUGCUCUGAUAGGGGUGGGUAAUCUUUUGAAUGUGCAUCGUGAUUGGGAUAGAUGAUGGCAAUUUUUCAUCUUCAACGAGGAAUGCCUAGUAAACGCAAGUCAUCAGCUUGCAUUGAUUACGUCCCUGCCCUUUGUACACACCGCCCGUCGCUCCUACCGAUUGAAUGAUCCGAUGAAUAUCAUGGAUUGAGGAUGCAAGUAGGUUCGCCUAUCUUCAUCUUCGAGAAGUGAAGUAAAUCUUAUCAUUUAGAGGAAGGAGAAGUCGUAACA
rnacentral:rRNA from 1 species